UACGGAGGGAGCUAGCGUUGUUCGGAAUUACUGGGCGUAAAGCGCACGUAGGCGGAUCGUUAAGUCGGGGGUGAAAUCCUGGAGCUCAACUCCAGAACUGCCUUCGAUACUGGCGAUCUUGAGUCCGGAAGAGGUGAGUGGAACUCCUAGUGUAGAGGUGGAAUUCGUAGAUAUUAGGAAGAACACCAGUGGCGAAGGCGGCUCACUGGUCCGGUACUGACGCUGAGGUGCGAAAGCGUGGGGAGCAAACAGG
rnacentral:rRNA from 1 species